GGCAGUCAAACAGAUUUAUGCUAACAUAAGUACACAUUUGGCAUCUAGCAGCGUGCGAGGUUAGCUUUCGGGUGACACUGAAACAUCACCCGGCCAGGCUUAAGUUUAACCUGACAGUUUGCUGCUGUGUUUACUUGGUUGCCAUGGAUGCAGGGAGACUGGCAGACACUGGUUUGCCCCAGCUGCUCUCAGUGGUUUCUAAAGAAUCUACAUUAAGGACCAGUUGUUGUCCUCGGAUGCCAGCAGGUACUCUGAUGGCACAGUUGUACCACGGGAAAACACAAGAUUUAUUAGCUCACCUGGAUCAUCAAGUGUGAGUUGCACUUAAGCCACUAAGCAGGUGUCUUUGCUUCUUUCAGCUGUUAGCACCUGCAGACACAGCUCCUCCCCCCACUAGCAGCUGAACAUGUGAAUAGUAGAACAACAACUUGGCAAAACAUCUUAAAGACUGACACCCUGGAAGAAUUUUGUGAGAAGUCAUCUUCAGACACCGGGUGACAUCUGACCUGGAAGCACCUCCGCACGGGAGUCGCCACGCCGGCAACUGAUGCGGUGCUCAGCUCUUCCCAAUUAUCCGCCAUCUUAAGAGGGCUACUUAACUGCAGAGUCAGGCGACACUCUGCGUGGGAAUAUUAACCAAGCCUGGAUUAAGGACGGAGAGGAGAUUGCUGGGAAGGAAGUCUCGAGCACAGAUUCACUUUGGAGGAAGACACGGACGCACUAUCACACACGUUUGGGACACGGGGAGGAACACACGGAGGACGGCUUGCACAUUGAACUGUUAUUUUAAUCCUUUUUCACUGUAAAUAAACAUGCUGUCU